UUGGAUUAGCUAACUAGCAGCAUGAAUCAGUGGUCGGCUGCAAACAUGUCUUCAUGUGACUCCAGCUUCAGAAGACACAAGAUUGAGAUGGAUUGAGUUCAUAUAUGAUGGCAACGUUCCUGCCACCACUUUGAAUCUGACUUUUUUAUCAACCUGGGCCAAUAUAACGCUGGAUUCUCUAAAAGGUUGUUAUUGAAAGAGGGGUCGGUGCCAUCUUUCCAUGGCAAUACUGAAGACGAGGGAAAUGCAAGCACAUCUGUUCACGGUGCUAGGCUACAUCACGUAGCAUGCCAGGCGGACCCACCAAAGAUGCGCACACAUGGCACGCAGCUUUCUAUGAAAACACUGCGACCUCACUACAAAAGUACAGGCACACAGAAAACUGUGCUGCACUGAUGUCGGUGUUGGGACCUCAGCUGUAAGAGACCUUGCUUGGAGGAGGGAGAGGACAAGAUGUGACAUUACGUGGAUAACCUGUUGGACCUCAUCUUUCACGAGGUUUUUCAGGACCCGGCCCCAUAUGUGAAUGAGGUGCUGAAGAUCUCAAAACCUGAGGAUCUCUCUGCCUAGUAUGAGAAACCUGACAAGCAGGAAGUUAUAGCCAGCUAUGUGUCGAGUUUCAAUCAAGGGCAGGUCUGAACCCUGUAUAACUUCCCUGAGCAUCAGGGAACAUUCUGCGUAUCUGGAGCACCACGCAGGAGGGCAGGACCACCCUGAUUCUCCGGCCCAGAUAGCCUCAACACCAGCUCACAAAGCUUCUGUACGCCAAAUACCUGUAACGGCUGAGCAAAGUUUACAUUGUAUUUAGAGAAUAAAAGGUGACACACAAAUAUAAAGUGUUCCUUUGUUUACAGUAUAGCUGCUGAUGGCACAAAUUGUAUUUUUGUAAUGAAUGUAUUUAUUAUACUUGGUAUUUUUUUGUAU